CGGCUGGAACCGCCUAAGACACCACCCCAGCCAGCAUGGCCGGCAGGAGCGCACCGCGCUGUCUCCCUCCAGGGAUCCGCACCGCCCUACAAUCCUGCUUUGUGCUGAGAUUGUAGUCCUGCAGGCGUACAACUAACAAGCUGGGUGCAGAUAAGAGACUACAGCUCCCCGCAUCCCAAGCAAAGGUCCCUCCUCUACGGAGCCCCUCCACGCGUCCACUGCGGUUCCGCCGUGCCAAGGGGAGCUUGGCUGUUCACGGGCCUCACCUGCUAGCGAGAAGAUAGCUUGGCCGGGCGGCUGAUCUCACCUUGUAAUUCUGACACUGUGUCUCCCGGGCUUGUCGGCUUCAUGACUUGUGCCCAAAGUUUGAUUUCUCGCAGACCAGGAGGACCCAUUGGACCCCCGGGCUGGCUGCAGGGCCCACACCUGGGUUAGACCUCGCACAGGGACGCUGCUGCCACUGUAAUAAAGCGUGCCUACACGCUUCUGAAACUGGUGUAGGAACAACCUCAGUUCUGUGAAAGGCGGACGCAGCAGGACAGAAUCUCCGUGGACAUCUGUCUGGAGGAGCAAUUUUACUGCGACAUUUUAAAGAAACAAAUUUAAUUGAUUUCCAAGGGUGUCCAUCGCGCUUCCUUCACUGCCUUGAUCAUGUCGGGGUCACCACCUGCGGGGGUUUGUCCUGCAGACCCUGACUCAACGACGGAUGAAUAAUGUACACUGACACAGAUCUUAUGCUUGUCAGUCCUGCUGAGCAUCCAGGCCACUUACAGACUCCAAGAAGAGUCCUGUCAGCCACGGCUCUGACUUGUUGGCCCUCCCGGCAUUUAUUUAGCACACAUUUAAUGACAGAAGUCUCAGGCUGGAAACACUCUUUUUGUAGAACAUACAAAUGGACAUUUCUAAGCACAUUGAGGCCUAUAAUGAAAAAUCAAAUAUCCCACAAUGAAAACUAGAAGGAAGCUAUCUGUGAUAAUGCUUUGUGGUGUAUGGAUUCAUCUCACUGACUGAAACCUGAGUUUUGAUUCACCAGGUUGGAAACACUUUUACUGUAUUAUCUAUGAAGAAACGUUUUUGAGGCCAUUAAGUCCUACACUGAAAAACUGAAUAUACUGCAUUAAACAUUCUAAAGAAGCUAACUGUGAAAAUGCUUUGCAAUGUGUGUAUUUAUCUCACAGAGUUAAACCAUUGUUUUGAUUCAUCAGUUUGGAAACAGUUUCUUUGUAGAAUCUAUGAAGGGACCUUUCAGAGGCCAUUGAGGCCUAUAAUAAAGAAACAAAUAUCCCACAAUAAAACAAGAAACAUAUAGAAACAAGCUGUAUGUGAAAAUGCUUUGUGAUAUCUGGAUUCUUCUCACUGAAUCAAACCUGGGUUUUGAGUCACCAGGUUGGAAACACUUUUUUUGUAAAAUCUAGGAAGGGAAAUUUCUGAGCCCAUUGAGGCACAUAGUGAAAAACCGAGGAUCCUGUGAUAAAAACUAGAAAAACGCAAUAUGUGAAGUUGCUUUGUGAUGUGUGGAUUCGUC
rnacentral:lncRNA from 1 species